CAAAGUAUGUUUGAAAUUAACAUUUAUUAAUAAGUUUAAUGAAUAAUAAUUAAACAAUAUGUCAUGAAUCAGGUUUAAUUGCUCCUUAAAUUUUCCUCUUUCUUCCUAUCGUUUCCUUAGGAGUUUUCACCUGCAGCUCUUUUCUCCUCAGCGCUCGCACUGAUUGAUCACGCACCUGUUGUGCUUCUUCUCUGAUUGCUUCCCCUUCUUUGCUCUGCUGCUAGCCGCGCUUCAGUGUCGGAUUAUUGUUUUCUCUCGCUGGCGUUUGUUCCCCGCUUCCUUAAGGAGACUUUUUGCUGAUCUCUAUUAUUGUGUGUGCUACUGUCUUAAGUCCCAGUCCCUGUCACAGACGUCAUCUCUGGAUUUCUCAUCCGACUUCUGGUUCCCUCUGCCUGGUUCUCCAUCUGUCGGCCGUGGGUAUUACCAUCACCAGCCCGAAGAAGCCCUGACCAGUAACGGCUCUGCGGCACCCCUUGACUGUUGUUUUUUCUCUAUUUCCCAUUCCAGUUGCAGUGCGUGUGUGAUUCCGCACUUGGCAGACUGCCUGAGUUAUUUUCUCGGAAGGACUAUUAAAACUGUGUUCAUUCCACUCUCUCGCCUCUGGGUCCUAUUUCCCGUGACACAAUAAACAUUUAUUAAAUUGCUUAUUAUUAAAUGUUUACCUUUUGACUA